rnacentral:rRNA from 1 species
AUUGAACGUUAGCGGGAUGCUUUACACAUGCAAGUCGAACGGCAGCGCGGACUUCGGUCUGGCGGCGAGUGGCGAACGGGUGAGUAAUGUAUCGGAACGUGCCCAGUAGCGGGGGAUAACUACGCGAAAGCGUAGCUAAUACCGCAUACGCCCUACGGGGGAAAGCAGGGGAUCGUAAGACCUUGCACUAUUGGAGCGGCCGAUAUCGGAUUGGCUAGUUGGUGAGGUAACGGCUCACCAAGGCGACGAUCCGUAGCUGGUUUGAGAGGACGACCAGCCACACUGGGACUGGGACACGGCCCAGACUCCUGAGGGAGGCAGCAGUGGGGAAUUUUGGACAAUGGGGGCAACCCUGAUCCAGCCAUCCCGCGUGUGCGAUGAAGGCCUUCGGGUUGUAAAGCACUUUUGGCAGGAAAGAAACGUCGCGGGCUAAUACCCCGUGGAACUGACGGUACCUGCAGAAUAAGCACCGGCUAACUACGUG